rnacentral:rRNA from 1 species
UACGUAGGGUGCGAGCGUUGUCCGGAAUUAUUGGGCGUAAAGGGCUCGUAGGCGGUCUGUUUGCGUCAGGAGUGAAAACUCGGGGACUUCGAACCCCGAGCCUGGCUUCUGAUACGGGCAGACUAGAGGUAUGCAGGGGAGAACGGAAUUCCGUGGUGUAGCGGUGAAAUGCGCAGAUAUCAGGAGGAACACCGGUGGCGAAGGCGGUCGUCUCGGGCGAUUACCUGACGCUGAGGAGCGAAAGUGUGGGGAGCGAACAGG